rnacentral:rRNA from 1 species
AUUGAACGCUGGCGGAAUGCUUUACACAUGCAAGUCGAACGGCAGCACGGACUUCGGUCUGGUGGCGAGUGGCGAACGGGUGAGUAAUAUAUCGGAACGUGCCCAGUCGUGGGGGAUAACGUAGUGAAAAUUACGCUAAUACCGCAUACGACCUACGGAUGAAAGCGGGGGAUCGCAAGACCUCGCGCGAUUGGACCGGCCGAUAUCAGAUUAGGUAGUUGGUGAGGUAAAGGCUCACCAAGCCGACGAUCUGUAGCUGGUCUGAGGGGACGACCAGCCACACUGGGACUGAGACACGGCCCAGACUCCUACGGGAGGCAGCAGUGGGGAAUUUUGGACAAUGGACGCAAGUCUGAUCCAGCCAUUCCGCGUGCAGGACGAAGGCCUUCGGGUUGUAAACUGCUUUUGUACAGAACGAAAAGGUCUCUACUAAUACUAGGGGCUCAUGACGGUACUGUAAGAAUAAGCACCGGCUAACUACGUGCCAGCCGCCGCCGUAA